ensembl:lncRNA
AUGCAAAUCUGCAGGAGGCGAAGUUCCCAAAGUCACGAGAAGGGAGCCCUGGCGAAAGCCUCUCAGGAGGAGGCGGGGAGCGUGGCCAAAACUGGCUCUUCCGCCUCACCCGGGAGUCAGCUGACUGGGCUUCAAGGAACUGCGGCGCGCGCCUUGCCCUGGAGCCACACCUGGCCCGAGAUCCCCAUUGAUUGGCAGACAUGGCCGAGCCCGAGGGGGUCGUGGUGGGAAGUGGAACGCAAGUAAGUGCCUGCUCCUCACGCGCCACACACACAGCUCUCUCCGCGUGCUGGCUCCACGUGACAGAAACUGCCUAACUUCUCUUCAGCGCUUUUGAGUUUGCAUCCCCAUCUGAAACCCUGUGGCUGCCCCCUGCCUCACUAUUCUGGGGCUUGUAGUUUAGGGGAGAGCUUGAAACUGCUCAGUCAGGGUUUCAGACAGGGGUGCAGAAUUUGCUGGCACUUUCCAAAGUUGUCUUUUCUUCUCAAAGGGGGAGGGGAGGGGAGGAAAAAGCGGUUGGUUAUUUUUUUAGAAGGGGGAGAACUUGGAGAAGGGCAGUUUGGAAAAUCCCGCCCUUUUUCUCCACACCCACGUCGUGUAGUGAUGGGUGGAGCUGAGGCGUUUCUCUCAGGAAUGGGCAGCCUUUCGCCGUUCAAACCCCGCUUUUCAAAGGGCGCGACUUUUUUUAUACUCCAGGAACAUUGUUGCCCUCUUUUAUAUGUGAAGACACGAAUCUGUUCUUUAUUCUCUUUUCGUUCCUGAAGCGAAUUUUUGAGGGCAACAUGCUGGAGGAACAUUGUUGCCACCUCCAUUAAAACACCCCCCACUGGUUGACCUUGCAGCUGCAAGGCUACCCAGGACUAAUCAAGCUUGUUAAUGGCAACACUUGCUUCAAACACAAACCGUAUACCAUGCAGCUGUGGACAAGUCUAUACAUAGCAGCAUUACCCAAAUACGAAUUAAGGAACAUGAAAGGCACUGCAGACUAAGCCAACCAGAGAAGUCGGCCAUAGCAGAGCACUUGAUGAACCAACCUGGACACAGAAUAUUAUUUGAGAACACUGAAAUGCUGGACCCCUCAAACAACCACCAUGUCAGACUACACAGAGAAGCCAUUGAAAUCCAUAAUCAUAUGGACAAUUUCAACAUGAAAAUGAACAAAAUCUGGCUACUAGUAUUUAAAAAAUUCUAAAAUCCGGACAGUAAAUAAAGAACAACAUUCAGAAAAUGGGAACUCCAGACAUGAAUCAAUCGGGCAGCUAACACCUUCCAACAAAGGAUCCCCCAGGCAGGAAGCAGCCAGACCUUGAAGCUGAAAGGCUAUUCAGUGUUAAUCACAGCGGCCAAUUGAAAAAUUCACACCCACCCUGGACCUUCCACCUUCUUUUCCCCACCCUGGACCUUCCACAGAUAUAUAAACCCUACUUGCCUAGUUUCCAUGCCUCAAAACCUCCGAGAAUGCCUGCCAUAGAUGCGGGCGAAACAUCAGGAAAGAAUGCUUUUGGAACAUGGCCAUACAGCCCAGAAAAUUCGCAUCAGCUAAGGCAAGGUUUUUUCUCCCACCCUGGACAUUUCCGAUAUGUAUUCACUUCAGUGGCCUUAUUUCCAACAUACCUCUGAAGAUGCCGGCCACAGAUGCAGAUGACAAGUCAGGAGAGAAUGCUAUUGAAACAUGGCCAUACAGCCCAGAAAAUUUGCAGCAGCCAAGGUAAGGUUCUUUCUCCCACCCUGGACAUUUCUGAUAUGUAUUCACUUCACUGGCCUCAUUUCCAACAUACCUCUGAAGAUGCCGGCCAUAGAUGCAGAUGACAUGUCAGGAGAGAAUGCUAUUGAAACAUGGCCAUACAGCCUGAAAAACGCACAGCAACCAUUGUUGCUGUCUGUUAUAUAAGAAGCCACAAAUACGUUCUUUAUUUUGAAAAGGGGAACCUUCUGUAUCCUGAAGAGAGUUUAUCAAAGGCAACAUGCUCCAGCAACUACCCCUCUCCCAUAUUGCUCCAAUACAGGGAUGCCAGCUUCAUUUCCAUGUUGGCUACAUCAGCCUUAUGGUAAAUUACAAAGGGUCAUUUGUAAUUAUAAGACUGAAAAAUGUAACUAUGUUGCCUGGCAUUGAA